UUAUUAAAAUUAAUUGCAAAUUGUUUGUGCGCGUGCGCGAGCGAGCCAGCUCCUUUUUAAACAAAAUACAAAAUCAAGAAAAAAAAAAUAAGUAAAUAAGAAGAAGACAAACAGCUCAGCAAAAUGCUUGUAAAAUGUAUGAGAAAAUUUUAUACCUACAAAAAUAUGGUCAAUAUUGCCAUUUACUCACCUGUGCAGUUGUCUAUGUCUGACUGUCUGUUUGUAUGUAUGUGUGUGUGUAUGUGUGGCGAUGUUGGGGCUGUCACGGAUCUCGGGUCGACCUGGCCACUGAGUGCGUUUUCAACAGUUGUUGGCGUCGGUUGUCCCGUCACCGUCUCGCCAGAGAACUUUUUCCUUCAGUGUUUUGUGCGGUGAAUUAUACGAAAAGGAAGGCCCGAAAUUACGCGUCCCACCUCUCGGAAACGUGAAAUGCCCAAUAAAUUGUUCUUAAUUAUCUAAUGUGCAA